rnacentral:rRNA from 1 species
CAUGGAGGGUGAGAAUCCCGUCCGGUUGACCUUAGGAUGCUCUACGUUGCGCUCUCUAAGAGUCGAGUUGUUUGGGAUUGCAGCUCAAAAUGGGAGGUAAAUUUCUCCUAAGGCUAAAUACAGGCGAGAGACCGAUAGCGAACAAGUACCGUGAGGGAAAGAUGAAAAGAACUUUGAAAAGAGAGUUAAACAGUACGUGAAAUUGUUGAAAGGGAAACGAUUGAAGCCAGUCGUACUGACGGGAAAUCAACUUCUCGAGUGCUUGUCGUGAAUGACGUUGAGCUUCACGGCCUUCGUUGCUUGCGUUAUGGUGCUUUUGAGGUGUACUUUUCCGUAUGGUAAGUCAACAUCGAUUUUGAUCGUCAUAAAAUGAUCGGAGGAAUGUGGCUCUGAUCUUGUAUCGGAGUGUUAUAGCCUUUGAUAGAUGUGACGAUUGGGAUCGAGGAUUGCAACGAAUACCCUUUGGGCUAUCCGUCUGACCUCUGAAAGUCGCUCGGGUGUCGAAAGCGUGCUUAUAACAUUCUAGUUGGCGGUCAAAAGGUUAGAACGUGAUUACAUUCGUUAAGGAUGUUGACGUAAUGG